UCUCCAGCACUGCUGAUUGAACUAGCAAGCGGGCAUAUCUACGCUGUUCUUCUUUUAGUUCCUUCCUUAGCAAAGCCACCUUGGCAUUAAAUUCCUCUUCCUCCUUCUCAAUUUCCAAGCAUCUUGCAUGGAGCCUUUUAUUCUCUUUAAGGAGAAGGACCAUCUCUUGAUCUUCCAAGGGACUUGUGAUAGUGGUCGCAUGCGGAUUUUGAAUAGACUCAGGAUCAGGAAGAUUUACACUUAAUCCCACCUUCUGUUUCAAAAUUUCAGGUUCUACUUGAUGAUCACAGUUUUUCCUUUUUG
rnacentral:misc_RNA from 1 species